rnacentral:siRNA from 1 species
AUGUAUUUAGGUGGGUUUUGCUCA